CCUGCGCGCCCUGAGGGCCGGGCCGGCUCCGGGGACGGGGUCGGAGAGGCGCGGGGAGGGGCUGGGUGUCCCGGGCCCCGGAGCUGCUGCUGCUGCGGGGAGAAUCGGGGAGACCGGAGUGUGGCCUCCUGCCCGGCCGACUCCCAGUUCUUCAGUCAGAAACUGACCCGUGAAACAGAAGCGUUGGAACGGAGGAAAUAACGUGUGGGGGAUGAAGAAUUCCUCCUGGUACCUGGGAAUUUGUGUUAGCAGAGUUGGCUAAUCCUGUAAUGUGUGGAAUGUUUUUAGUGGCUCCUGGGGGGAAAAAAAAAAAAAGUGGAGGUUUUACUUUAUGUGGAGGUGUUGGGUUUUUUUAUCUCCUCAGUCUGCCCAGUAAGAGCUGUUCAACAAUGUUGUUAUUUCACCCCCACAUACCUUCGUCAGUGUAACCUGUUAAAGCAGUGAGAAAAUGCAAUUGAAACAUUGUACCUAUGUGAUAUCCUUUCACUUUAUUAAAUGGUAACUUGCUUUCUCAUUUCAGGUGAUUAUCUAGCAGAAUCUCCUGUGAUAAAACUGAUAAACUCUUAGGUAUCUAAUGCCACAUGAAAAUAGUUGCAUAUCAAAUCCUGAUUCAUUGAUAUAAAUGCUGGUUAAUAAUGUCACUGUGAUCCCCAAAGCAAACUGUGGGAACUGUUUUGUAAACUCACAGUUAAAACUUGUAAUGAAAGUGUCAUGUUAAGAGUAAAAUCAGUAUAUCUGUUGUAUUAAAUUUAGCAGAAAAUCACCCCGUGGCAUUCCAGCUGCUCCUUGGAUACCAGAGGGGCUGGGACAGCUGGGGUUAGCUUCUGAGCCGUGGCCAGUUCGGCAGCAGACAUGCAGAGCCGGUGUGGCACUGGAACGAGAUGACCUUUGGAAUUCCUUCCAGCCCAGACCACUCUGUAGUUCUGUGCUGGUGGUGGGUAGCCUGUGUGCAGAAGUAUGUGUGAACACAUGAAAUAUGAACAACACAGCCAGCCACAAGCACGUUCAGCUGGGAGAUGCCAAUGUAGCACUAAGAGUACGAACACAACACAGGCUGGCUUUCCGAAUUUCCCAAGCAAGCACCCGGUAUAGCCGAGGGAUGGAGUCUUACCCAGUAGCGGCCCCUGUGGGGAGCAGAUAGGUACAGCCCUCUGACAGUGCCAGGAUACAGAGAUAGAGUCUCCUCUGACCUCCCUCCCCACUACAGCCGUAUUUAUAUUGUUUUCAGUGAGGGAGGGGAGAAGGUGAAGUUGUGGCUGACAUAGUUUCCCAUUUAGGUGGAGUUUGAUUUUAGUCACGAGCACAUAUGGGGGUUAUUGACACAAAGUUGGGUCAUGGUUUGGGUCAUUCCCUUGGCUUAGUUCCCUUUACCUGCAUUGUUCCUGCCAGAACAUGACCACAGCACCUCUGUGCCGCUCCAUCCUUUGUUUCAUACCUGCAUUGAUUUCAGCAGGGCGUGACCGCCUCUCUCCCUGCUUUGUUCCCUCCUUCCGCAGCAGCACACCCAGCUCCCGCAGGGAUCCUGCUUGUCCCUGCUGAACUACUGCCAAUGAAUGCACUCCUUCUCGCUCAGCUUUCUUUUUCAGUGUUCUCCCCAGUGAAGGCAGCCUUAAAUGAAAAAGGAAACCAGAACUACAACGCUUUCUGGAAACUUGCAAAUAAAUCUCUUUGCAGCCGUGUGUGCAGCUGACUGUGCACCACACCAUUCCCUGCUCCCAGAAUGGAGCAGAACUGAAAUGAGGGGCUUUGUGGUAUCGUUGGAACGCAGUGGCUCUGUGUCUCACUGAAAAAAAGUAUUAUUUGUAGUGCAGCAGAUGUACAGGAUGUGUUUCUGAAGAGGUAGCACUGGUUUAGCGGGUACAGUGGGGCUUUUGGAUGAGGUAUGGAAACGGGACUUGGCCCACUGGAAGCAUUUUAAGUCCCAUUCCAAUUUUCAUGAGCUGUAGCUCCAGUAAUAUUCCAAAUCCAAUUCAGGAAAUUAUACUGUUUAUUAUGGCUUUGUCUUCUAAAUACAUAAAUAUUACUCUACACCCAUUGACAAAUAAAUAUUUGCUAUAAUUCA